CAUCUGCUUUAAUUACAAAGACUGGGCAGCCAAAAAGUGUGCAAAAUUUUGUUUCUUCUGUGAAGAAACCACCACAACAACAACUACCACUACCACCACUCCGGCUCCCACCACAGAACCACCUUGUGUGAAUGUCGAUCCCGACUGUGAAGACAGGGGACCAGUUGUUUGUUUCCAAAACCAGACUUGGGCUCAGGCAAAUUGCAGGGUUUUCUGUGCCUUCUGUACACCUCCCACUACACCUGCAGUCAUAAAUGUGCCAUCAACAAACGUCCCUACAACAGCUACCUUGUUCCCUGUAACCCAGCCCCCAAUCCCGACCACUAACGCUCCACUCACUACAACAACUACUGAAGAACCAUCGACAAACCCCACCAUCAUUGUGAUUGGAUAAAUAGAACGCCUUUAAUAAAAUUUCUUUUUUGUAUCCUUAACUUAUUUGUGAAGAUAGAAAUGUUAACAUAAAGAGUACACACGUUUUCAUAAUAGUUCGAAAUUGUUGAUAUUAGCUGGAUAUCAUAAGAAGGGCUAUU